GUCUUUUUGAAUUAAAUUUAAAGUCUAACCUGCCCACUGAAAAUUUUAAAUGGCCGCAGUAUUCUAACUGUGCAAAGGUAGCAUAAUCAUUAGUCUUUUAAUUGAAGGCUGGAAUGAAUGGUUGGACGAAAUAUUAACUGUUUCAUUUAGAUUUUUUAUAGAAUUUUAUUUUUUAGUCAAAAAGCUAAAAUAAAUUUAAAAGACGAGAAGACCCUAUAAAUCUUUAUAUUUUAUUUAUUUUAAUUAUAAAGAUUAUUUUUAUUAUAAUAAAUUAAAAUAUUUUAUUGGGGUGAUAUUAAAAUUUAAAAAACUUUUAAUUUUUAAAACCAUUAAUUUAUGAAUAAUUGAUCCAUUAAUAAUGAUUAAAAAUUUAAGUUACUUUAGGGAUAACAGCGUAAUUUUUUUGGAGAGUUCAUAUCGAUAAAAAAGAUUGCGACCUCGAUGUUGGAUUAAGAUAUAAUUUUGGGUGUAGCCGUUCAAAUUUUAAGUCUGUUCGACUUUUAAAUUCUU
rnacentral:rRNA from 1 species